rnacentral:rRNA from 1 species
CCCGGGCCUUGUACACACCGCCCGUCACACCACGAAAGUUGACUUCACCAGAAGUCGGUGUCCUAACCGUAAGGAGGGAGCCGCCCAAGGUGAGGUCGAUGAUUGGGGUG